rnacentral:lncRNA from 1 species
UCAUACUUGUGCUGCAAACACAUUGUUCAUAUUGAAAGUGGAGUAAGAACUGCAGUAAUUUAGGAUGAUUGGGUUUGAAUUUGAAGUUCUUUUCACUUGUAAUUAUGGUAGGGGUCGAAUGGAUUAUCAAAAGUUACCUACCAUUGGAUCUAAGUAGAGGGCUCUUGUUCCUUGAGUAGUUUAUGAACUAGGGGAUAUUUCUUAAAAGUACUUGAGAAGCUGAAGACCAAACCACUUUUCUUGUAAUUAUUUGUUUCUGAUGGUAACUUUUGGUUCUGUUUGCGAUGAUCUAUGAUAGCACUUUAAU